UGCAUGAGGUAGCAAAUUACGAUGACGGC
rnacentral:piRNA from 1 species